rnacentral:rRNA from 1 species
UCAAGCUACAAAGAGCACAAGGGGAAUGCCUUGGCACCGAGAGCCGAAGAAGGACGUGACUAACUGCGAUAAGCUGCGGGGAGCCGUAAGUAGGCUUUGAUCCGCAGAUUUCCGAAUGGAGCAAUCCGGCAAGAGGAAAGUCUUGUCAUCAUAUACUGAAUACAUAGGUAUAUGAGGGGAACCGCCUGAACUGAAACAUCUAAGUAGGGCGAGGAAGAGAAAUCAACUGAGAUUCCGUAAGUAGUGGCGAGCGAACGCGGAAGAGGCCAAACCGAGAGUAGUAAUACUUUCGGGGUUCGGACAGAAUACGGCAUUGUAAAGGUUUAGUGGAAUGGAAUGGGAAGUCCAACCGAAGAAGGUGAGAGUCCUGUACACGAAAAGCCUGAACAGCCAUCUGUAUCCAGAGUACCGCCGGACACGUGAAACCCGGUGGGAAUACGGGGGGACCAUCCUCCAAGCCUAAAUACUACUCGGUGACCGAUAGUGAAGAAGUACUGUGAAGGAAAGGUGAAAAGUACCCCUGACGGGGAGUGAAAAAGAACCUGAAACCUUGUGUUUACAAGCACCGAAAGCUCAUCAAAGAGCGAUCGGGUACCUUUUGUAGAAUGGUCCGGCGAGUGAAUGUAACCGGCGAGGUUAAGCACUUAAGGUGUGAAGCCGCAGCGAGAGCAAGUCUGAAUAGGGCGUAUGAAGUCGGUUGUAUUCGACCCGAAACCGGGUGACCUACCCAUGGUCAGGUUGAAGUAAAGGUAAAACUUUAUGGAGGACCGAACCGACUCCCGUUGAAAUGGUAGCGGAUGAACUGUGGGUAGCGGAGAAAUUCCAAUCGAACCCGGAGAUAGCUGGUUCUCUCCGAAAUAGCUUUAGGGCUAGCCUUGAAAUAGAUUACCGGAGGUAAAGCACUGAAUUGGCUAGGGGCCGAGAGGUUACUGAACCUUAUCAAACUAAGAAUGCCGGAUAAUCGUUUUUCAGGAGUCAGACAGUGGGAGAUAAGUUUCAUUGUCAAAAGGGAAACAGCCCAGACCCACAGCUAAGGUCCCCAAGUAUAGUUAAGUGGAAAAGGAUGUGGAAUUGCACAGACAACCAGGAUGUUGGCUUAGAAGCAGCCACUCAUUAAAAGAGUGCGUAAUAGCUCACUGGUCGAGUGACUCUGCGCCGAAAAUUUAACGGGGCUAAACUAUACACCGAAGCUUGGGAUACAUCUAAUGUAUGGUAGGAGAGCGUUCUGUAUGGGGAGAAGUCGUAGCGAAAGCGGCGGUGGACUAUACAGAAGUGAGAAUGCCGGAAUAAGUAGCGAGAAUUAAGUGAGAAUCUUAAUGGCCGAAAGUCUAAGGUUUUUGGAGGAAGGUUCGUCCGCUCCAAGUAAGUCGGGAGCUAAGGUCAGGCCGAAAGGCGUAGCCGAUGCACAUACGGUUGAUAUUCCGUAACCAUCUGUAAUUUAAGCAAAGGGACACUUCAAAAGGGUGUGACCCGGGCGUUGGUUGACCCGGGCGUAAGGGACCGAAAUUAGAGUAGGGAAGCACACUUAGCUGAAGGCGAGAAAAGCUUUGCGUAUAGAAACAGAUGCCCGUACCGCAAACCGACACAGGUGGACAGGAAGAGAAUUCUAAGGCCAGCGGGAGAAGGGUAGUUAAGGAACUCGGCAAAUUGACUCCGUAACUUCGGAAUAAGGAGUGCUCGAAAGAGCCGCAGAGAAUAGGCCCAGGCGACUGUUUAGCAAAAACACAGGUCUCUGCCAAAUCGAAAGAUGAAGUAUAGGGGCUGACACCUGCCCGGUGCCGGAAGGUUAAGAGGAGGAGUGAGAGCUCCGAAUUGAAGCCCCGGUAAACGGCGGCCGUAACUAUAACGGUCCUAAGGUAGCGAAAUUCCUUGUCGGGUAAGUUCCGACCCGCACGAAAGGCGUAA